AUUGAACGCUGGCGGCAUGCCUUACACAUGCAAGUCGAACGGUAACGGGCCUUCGGGUGCCGACGAGUGGCGAACGGGUGAGUAAUGCAUCGGAACGUACCUUUCAGUGGGGGAUAACGUAGCGAAAGUUACGCUAAUACCGCAUACUCUGUGAGCAGGAAAGCAGGGGAUCGCAAGACCUUGCGCUGAUUGAGCGGCCGAUGUCAGAUUAGCUAGUUGGUGAGGUAAAGGCUCACCAAGGCGACGAUCUGUAGCGGGUCUGAGAGGAUGAUCCGCCACACUGGAACUGAGACACGGUCCAGAAUCCUACGGGAGGCAGCAGUGGGGAAUUUUGGACAAUGGGGGCAACCCUGAUCCAGCCAUGCCGCGUGAGUGAAGAAGGCCUUCGGGUUGUAAAGCUCUUUCGGCCGGGAAGAAAUCGUAUGGGCUAAUACCCUGUGCGGAUGACGGUACCGGCAUAAGAAGCACCGGCUAACUACGUGCCAGCCGCCGCAGUAACAC
rnacentral:rRNA from 1 species